AUGCCAUUUGCUCUUAUGUUCUUCUGGGAUGUUCACAUGGUAUUUAACAAACAACUAGGUCUAGAUCAGGUCUUGACAAACUACAGAAAACUACAAUUCUGGAGCAUGCCCCUUUUUGUUUUACAGGCACACAGCCACACCCAUUUGUCUGCUUAUUAUCUCUGGCUGCUUUUGCUCUACAAUGGCAGAGGUUUUGGGGUACAUGUGAAGAACAUGCAAGAUUGUUGCAUAGAUAUAUACAUAGCAAUGUGGUUUGCUGCCUUCCUCCCCAUCACCUAUAUCUGGCAUUUCUCCCUAUGUUAUCCCUCUCCAACUCCCCACCCCCUGCUGUCCCUCCCCUAGUUCCCCCCAAUAGACCCCAAUGUGUGAUGCUCCUCUCCCUGUGUCCAUGUGUUCUCAUUGUUCCAACACCCACCUAUGAGUGAGAACAUGCGGUGUUUGAUUUUCUGUUCUUGUGUCAGUUUGCUGAGAAUGAUGGUUUCCUGGUUCAUCCAUGUCCCUACAAAGGACACAAACUCAUCGUUUUUUAUGACUGCAUAGUAUUCCAUGGUGUAUAUGUGCCACAUUUUCCCAUCCAGUCUAUCAUCGAUGGGCAUUUGGGUUGGUUCCCAGUCUUUGCUAUUGUAAACAGUGCUG
rnacentral:lncRNA from 1 species